GGAAGUGGCCGCUUAUGCGUCUAUGAGCAUUUUCAGCACAAAUCUCCUGCACAGCGCCAUGAUUAUAGAUGAGACACCGCUCACCAGGCGGUGCCUCGCACAGUCUCUAGCACAGCAGUUCUUCGGAUGUUUCAUCUCCAGAAUGUCUUGGUCUGAUGAGUGGGUGCUGAAGGGAAUUUCAGGUUAUAUUUAUGGACUGUGGAUGAAGAAAACGUUUGGUGUCAAUGAGUACCACCAUUGGAUUAAAGAGGAACUCGAUAAAAUAGUGGCAUAUGAACUGAAAACUGGGGGAGUUUUACUGCAUCCCAUAUUUGGUGGUGGAAAAGAAAAGGAUAAGUAUGUGUGAUAUUAAAAACCUCGUUUAUGGGCUGCCUCUCGCAGGCGCAUGUGUGUCCCUUAAGGCCGGCUGAGGCCAGAACCGUAGUGAUAGUGUGAUGCCGUAGACUGCAUUUAUCAUCCCUCUCUGCAUUUUUGUUGCAUCACGUGAGAUGACUGUAGCUGAAUUUAAGCCUAGAAAUGGGAGGCUUUUCUGUUUGAUAUGCUGAGUUUUCUAGUUAAUUGUUGUCAUACUAGCUUUGAUAAAACUCAAACAAAUCU
rnacentral:lncRNA from 1 species